rnacentral:rRNA from 1 species
UACGUAGGGUGCAAGCGUUGUCCGGAAUUAUUGGGCGUAAAGAGCUCGUAGGCGGUUUGUCGCGUCUGCUGUGAAAACCCGAGGCUCAACCUCGGCCUGCAGUGGGUACGGGCAGACUAGAGUGCGGUAGGGGAGAUUGGAAUUCCUGGUGUAGCGGUGGAAUGCGCAGAUAUCAGGAGGAACACCAAUGGCGAAGGCAGAUCUCUGGGCCGUAACUGACGCUGAGGAGCGAAAGCAUGGGGAGCGAACAGG